CGGACGGGUGAGUAACACGUGAGGAACCUGCCUUACACAGGGAAUAACAACCGUGAAAAACGGUGGCCUAAUACCGGCAUAACACCGCACUAUGGCAUCAUAGAACGGUCAAAGGAGAAAUCCGGUGUAAGAUGGCCUCGCGCCCGAUUAGUUAGUUGUGGGGUAAUGGCCUACCAAGACUGCGAUCGGUAGCCGGGACUGAGAGGUCGAACGGCCACAUUGGAACUGAGAGACGGUCCAGACUCCUACGGGAGGCAGCAGUGGGGAAUAUUGGGCCAAUGGGGGAAACCCUGACCCAGCAACGCCGCGUGAAGGAAGAAGGCCUUCGGGUUGUAAACUUCUUUGAUCAGGGAAGAAACAAAUGACGGUACCUGAAAAACAAGCCACGGCUAACUACGUGCCAGCCGCCGC
rnacentral:rRNA from 1 species